AACGAACGCUGGCGGCAGGCCUAACACAUGCAAGUCGAACGCACCGCAAGGUGAGUGGCGCACGGGUGAGUAACACGUGGGAAUGUAUCCUUUGGUUCGGAAUGACGUCUGGAAACGGACGCUAAUACCGGAUGAGCCCUUAGGGGGAAAGAUUUAUCGCCAAAGGAGCAGCCCGCGUCUGAUUAGGUAGUUGGUGGGGUAAAGGCCUACCAAGCCGACGAUCAGUAGCUGGUCUGAGAGGAUGAUCAGCCACACUGGGACUGAGACACGGCCCAGACUCCUACGGGAGGCAGCAGUGGGGAAUAUUGGACAAUGGGCGCAAGCCUGAUCCAGCCAUGCCGCGUGAGUGAUGAAGGCCUUCGGGUUGUAAAGCUCUUUCGCACACGACGAUGAUGACGGUAGUGUGAGAAGAAGCCCCGGCUAACUUCGUGCCAGCCGCCGCCGUAACAC
rnacentral:rRNA from 1 species